ACUCACUGAAAAAGACUCCACAGACCCAACUCUCUUCACUCUGCAUUGGUCCCUCCCUUUCUCUCAACCAAAGUUCAACCUUCAUACUGACCCAUCCUUCUUCUUGAUUUUCAGCAGACAAAUCAGAAGGGCCAGUUGGUACCUCCCUCCUAGCUAAACCUCCAUUCUCUCAAAUCUCUUAGGUUGUGAAUUGGAGUGCCUCACUGUGAGAAGCCAUAAUAGUAGAUUGGUGAUCAAUUAAGAUGGGAGGGAUGUUCAAGGUGGAUUUGGGGGUAGCGACAGUGCGGCUUAGAUUUUUCUGUCUCGAUGGCUCUUAGGAGUAAUUUCACGGCCAUGGGGCCUUUUGUAAUAGUUGCCUUAAUGGCAACCCUUUUGCAAAACUGUUGAACUUUUAGAUUUUGUUUUGGUUAUAGCAUGGUUGUAUGCCUAGGAUUCCUUUUAAGUACUCCUAUGGAUGACUGUUAAAGUACUUUU